rnacentral:lncRNA from 1 species
CCUGGGAGGACUUGGCCGCGCAGCCGCCGAUUACACCCAGCUCGGCUGGGAUGGCUCCGAGCCGUCUGCCCUGACGUCAGCGAGGCUCCGGGUCCCGCCGCGGCGAGAUAGGCAAGCGCGGCCGGGCGCGGGCGCGGCACUAAUCACUCCCAGAUGGCCCUAAUAGCGGAGAUAAAGACCGACGGAGCAGCCGGGAAUAAAUUUGUAAUCAAGGCUCUACCAUCUGAUCAUCAAAGCGACCCAAAUGCCAGGAGAAUAUGGAGGAAAUGUGCGUGUAGGGGGUUGCGUUUUGGGGAAAAGAGGGGGCGCGCUCUUAAAUGGAACUGACUUGGGCAGGGUGUAGUAACAAGAAUG